rnacentral:rRNA from 1 species
UACGUAGGGGGCAAGCGUUGUCCGGAUUCAUUGGGCGUAAAGAGCGUGUAGGCGGCCAGGUAGGUCGGUUGUGAAAACUGGAGGCUCAACCUUCAGAGGUCGACCGAAACCAUCUGGCUAGAGUCCGGGAGAGGAGAGUGGAAUUCCUGGUGUAGCGGUGAAAUGCGCAGAUAUCAGGAAGAACACCCGUGGCGAAGGCAGAUCUCUGGGCCGUAACUGACGCUGAGGAGCGAAAGCAUGGGGAGCGAACAGG